rnacentral:lncRNA from 1 species
AUGGAUUUUACUAUGCCUUCAUCGAGAAGCGCUGGCUGGCAAAGUUACGUCAUGUCCUGGCAGAGACUCUUAGGCAAGACGGAGGAGUUCAGCUACGCAGCCUGCCAGAAGAACAUUGCCCGGGAGGGGUCGCUAGCCUUGAGCUAUAGGCACCGAUGCACAUGGCUCGUUCUGUCAGGCGUUCAGAGCAUCGGGGAACGACUGUAUGCUGCCGUGAAGAACUACAGGCACCCGCCCUCAGCCCUUUGCAAGUUAUCAGCUAUCAAGAGUGGCCAGGAGACGCCGGCGGAAAGGUGGGUAAGCUGUGACCCCAGCUGCCUUUGCCUUGCUUUGCUGCUUAGUGUCGUAACAGCGACUUGGGACCCCGGAAUAAAAACUGUUACAGUGCUGAAGGGAGGACCUGCAUUUGCCCAGGCUGACGUUCUGAGGGCCAGCAACUGGAAGAGGAGCAGCUCAGCCCGUUUGGUUGAUUUCGGUGAUACUGUUUUAAGGAAGCAUGCAGCCUGA